rnacentral:rRNA from 1 species
GAUGAACGCUAGCGGCAGGCCUAAUACAUGCAAGUUGAGGGAGAAAUUUGGUGCUUGCACUAAAUGGGAACCGGCGAACGGGUGCGUAACACGUAUGCAACCUACCUAUAACAAAGGGAUAGCCCGAAGAAAUUCGGAUUAAUACCUUAUAAUAUUUACCUCUCUCCUGAGAGGAAUCUUAAAGCUCCGGCGGUUAUAGAUGGGCAUGCGGCCUAUUAGUUUGUUGGUGAGGUAAUGGCUCACCAAGACUACGAUAGGUAGGGGGUCUGAGAGGAUGAUCCCCCACACUGGUACUGAGACACGGACCAGACUCCUACGGGAGGCAGCAGUAGGGAAUAUUGGACAAUGGACGAAAGUCUGAUCCAGCCAUGCCGCGUGCAGGAUGACGGCCCUAUGGGUUGUAAACUGCUUUUAUAUAGGAAGAAACCCUCAUACGUGUAUGAGGCUGACGGUACUAUAAGAAUAAGGACCGGCUAACUCCG